rnacentral:rRNA from 1 species
AGAGUUUGAUCAUGGCUCAGGAUGAACGCUGGCGGCGUGCCUAAUACAUGCAAGUCGAGCGAACCACUUCGGUGGGAAGCGGCGAACGGGUGAGUAACACGUAGGUGAUCUGCCCAUCAGACGGGGACAACGAUUGGAAACGAUCGCUAAUACCGGAUAGGACGAAAGUUUAAAGAUGCUCCUGGCAUCACUGAUGGAUGAGCCUGCGGCGCAUUAGCUAGUUGGUGGGGUAAAGGCCUACCAAGGCGACGAUGCGUAGCCGACCUGAGAGGGUGAACGGCCACACUGGGACUGAGACACGGCCCAGACUCCUACGGGAGGCAGCAGUAGGGAAUCUUCGGCAAUGGGCGAAAGCCUGACCGAGCAACGCCGCGUGAAUGAAGAAGGCCUUCGGGUUGUAAAAUUCUGUUAUAAGGGAAGAAAGGUGAUAGGAGGAAAUGACUAUCAAUUGACGGUACCUUAUGAGAAAGCCACGGCUAACUACGUGCCAGCAGCCGCGGUAAUACGUAGGUGGCAAGCGUUAUCCGGAAUUAUUGGGCGUAAAGAGCGCGCAGGUGGUUAAUUAAGUCUGAUGUGAAAGCCCACGGCUUAACCGUGGAGGGUCAUUGGAAACUGGUUGACUUGAGUGC